UUCAAUUGCAGCGGAAUAGCGGAUGUUUAAAUAUUUUGGUUGCGUCACUAAACUUUUCAAGAAGCAGUGCGCGCCGUCCGCGUUUGUGAAUAGAGACGGAACAGAACCGAGCAUGAACGAGAGAGAGCUGGGCGACAAGGAGACCGUACAAAACAAGGAAUCUUUCACUUCAUUCGGCUCCUGA
rnacentral:lncRNA from 1 species